UGGGGAAUAUUGCACAAUGGGCGGAAGCCUGAUGCAGCAACGCCGCGUGCGGGAUGACGGCCUUCGGGUUGUAAACCGCUUUCGCCUGUGACGAAGCGUGAGUGACGGUAAUGGGUAACGAAGCACCGGCUAACUACGUGCCAGCAGCCGCGGUGAUACGUAGGGUGCGAGCGUUGUCCGGAUUUAUUGGGCGUAAAGGGCUCGUAGGUGGUUGAUCGCGUCGGAAGUGUAAUCUUGGGGCUUGACCCUGAGCGUGCUUUCGAUACGGGUUGACUUGAGGAAGGUAGGGGAGAAUGGAAUUCCUGGUGGAGCGGUGGAAUGCGCAGAUGUCAGGAGGAACACCAGUGGCGAAGGCGGUUCUCUGGGCCUUUCCUGACGCUGAGGAGCGAAAGCGUGGGGAGCGAACA
rnacentral:rRNA from 1 species